GCCUUGGUGGCGAAAUUGGUAGACGCGCUAGCUUCAGGAGCUAGUUCUCGCGAGGGAUUGGGAGUUCGACUCUCCCCCAAGGCA
rnacentral:tRNA from 8 species